GGUUCCAUAGUGUAGCAGUUAGCACGUCUGCUUUAGAUGCAGAAGGUCCUGGGUUUGCACCCCAGUGGAGCCA
rnacentral:tRNA from 1 species